rnacentral:rRNA from 1 species
UACGGAGGGUGCAAGCGUUGCUCGGAAUCACUGGGCGUAAAGGGCGUGUAGGCGGUCCUGUGUGUCUGACGUGAAAGCCCCGGGCUCACCCCGGGAAGUGCGUUGGAAACUGCAGGACUGGAGUCCCGGAGAGGAAGGUGGAAUUCCAGGUGUAGCGGUGAAAUGCGUAGAUAUCUGGAAGAACACCGGUGGCGAAGGCGGCCUUCUGGACGGUGACUGACGCUGAGACGCGAAAGCGUGGGGAGCAAACAGG